rnacentral:rRNA from 1 species
UACGUAGGGGGCAAGCGUUGUCCGGAUUUAUUGGGCGUAAAGAGCGUGUAGGCGGCCAGACAGGUCAGCUGUGAAAACUCGAGGCUCAACCUCGAGACGUCGGUUGAAACCGUCUGGCUAGAGUCCGGAAGAGGAGAGUGGAAUUCCCGGUGUAGCGGUGAAAUGCGCAGAUAUCGGGAAGAACACCCGUGGCGAAGGCGGCUCUCUGGGACGGUACUGGACGCUGAGACGCGAAAGCGUGGGGAGCGAACAGG